GGGAUGCCCUAGUAACGGCGAGUGAAGCGGCACCAGCUCAAAUUUGAAAUCUGGCCUUCGGGUCCGAAUUGUAAUUUGUAGAGGAUGCUUUUGGUGCGGUGCCUUCCGAGUUCCCUGGAACGGGACGCCAGAGAGGGUGAGAGCCCCGUACGGUUGGACACCUACCCUUAUAUAUAGCUCCUUCGACGAGUCGAGUAGUUUGGGAAUGCUGCUCUAAAUGGGAGGUAAAUUUCUUCUAAAGCUAAAUACCGGCCAGAGACCGAUAGCGCACAAGUAGAGUGAUCGAAAGAUGAAAAGCACUUUGAAAAGAGGGUUAAAUAGCACGUGAAAUUGUUGAAAGGGAAGCGUUUGUGACCAGACUUUUUCCUAGUGGAUCAUCCGGUGUUCUCACCGGUGCACUUCACUGGGUUUAGGCCAGCAUCGGUUUCCGGAGGGGGACAAAAGCCUGGGGAAUGUGGCUCCUUCGGGAGUGUUAUAGCCCCUAGUAUAAUACCUCUCCUGGGGACCGAGGACCGCGCUUCGGCAAGGAUGCUGGCGUAAUGGUUAUCAACGACCCGUCUUGAAACACGGACCAAGGAGUCGAACAUUUGUGCGAGUGUUUGGGUAUCAAACCCUCACGCGUAAUGAAAGUGAACGGAGGUGAGAGCCCUUCGGGGUGCAUCAUCGACCGAUCCUGAUGUCUUCGGAUGGAUUUGAGUAAGAGCAUAACUGUUCGGACCCGAAAGAUGGUGAACUAUGCGUGGAUAGGGUGAAGCCAGAGGAAACUCUGGUGGAGGCUCGCAGCGGUUCUGACGUGCAAAUCGAUCGUCAAAUCUGCGCAUGGGGGCGAAAGACUAUCGACCUCUAUAUGCGCCG
rnacentral:rRNA from 1 species